rnacentral:rRNA from 1 species
GACGAACCGUGCGAACGUUGUUCGGAUUCACUGGGCUUAAAGGGCGCGUAGGCGGAUUACCAAGUCAGGGGUGAAAGCCCCCGGCUCAACCGGGGAACAGCCUUUGAUACUGGUAGUCUUGAGGGAGGUAGGGGCCUCUGGAACUUCUGGUGGAGCGGUGAAAUGCGUAGAUAUCAGGAGGAACGCCGGUGGCGAAAGCGAGGGGCUGGAUCUCAUCUGACGCUGAGGCGCGAAAGCUAGGGGAGCAAACGGG